rnacentral:rRNA from 1 species
UACGAAGGGGGCUAGCGUUGCUCGGAAUCACUGGGCGUAAAGGGCGCGUAGGCGGAUCUUUAAGUCGGGGGUGAAAGCCUGUGGCUCAACCACAGAAUUGCCUUCGAUACUGGGGAUCUCGAGACCGGAAGAGGUGAGUGGAACUGCGAGUGUAGAGGUGAAAUUCGUAGAUAUUCGCAAGAACACCAGUGGCGAAGGCGGCUCACUGGUCCGGGUUCUGACGCUGAGGCGCGAAAGCGUGGGGAGCAAACAGG